AACGAACGCUGGCGGCAUGCCUAACACAUGCAAGUCGAACGAGACCUUCGGGUCUUGUGGCGCACGGGUGCGUAACGCGUGGGAACCUGCCCUUAGGUUCGGAAUAACUCCCCGAAAGGGGUGCUAAUACCGGAUAAUGUCUUCGGACCAAAGAUUUAUCGCCUUUGGAUGGGCCCGCGUUGGAUUAGCUAGUUGGUAGGGUAAAAGCCUACCAAGGCGACGAUCCAUAGCUGGGCUGAGAGGAGGAUCAGCCACACUGGGACUGCGACACGGCCCAGACUCCUACGGGAGGCAGCAGUGGGGAAUAUUGGACGAUGGGCGCAAGCCUGAUCCAGCAGUGCCGCGUGAGUGAUGAAGGCCUUAGGGUUGUAAAGCUCUUUUACCCGGGAUGAUAAUGACGGUACCGGGAGAAUAAGCUCCGGCUAACUCCGCG
rnacentral:rRNA from 1 species